rnacentral:tRNA from 2 species
ACACAUGUAGCUCAGCUGGAUAGAGCGUUUGCCUCCGGAGCGAAAGGUCGCGGGUUCGAAUCCCGUCAUGUGUA